ACACACACACACACACACACACACAGACACACACACAAACUUAAUUCUGUGGUCCAGACCGCUUUCCCCGUUGUGUAACUUAAAAUGUUCGAUGGAGGAGGAUAAACAGUCCCGUCUUGUUCUUUUUGUAGAUGAUGUGUGGGGUAACCAUCUGGCCAAGACCAUUUAACACACACACACACACACACAUCAUCUGGCCAAGACCAUGUUACCACCCUAUGAGCUGUGCUGAACCAGUCAUGUGCCGAACGACCAUUGCAAGUGAGGACUGUUCUGGCAUGAGUCAACGUCCACUGGUUGCCAGGGCAAUGAUGUCUUGACAGGAUGAGACUAUCUUUCUGCUGUCCUCUACACUUACUUCGACACGUUCAUCUGAUGGUAGUGAUGAGAUUCCAGAUGCCCAAGCAAUAAAGUUGAAAAGUUGUGGGGGCACUACGCGUAGGGCAGGUGUGUGUUGUGGGGGCACUAUGCCAAGGGCAGGUGUGUGUUGUGGGGGCACUAUGCCAAGGGCAGGUGUGUGUUGUGGGGGCACUAUGCCAAGGGCAGGUGUGUGUUGGGGUGGCACUACGCGUAGGGCAUUCUCCAGUGUCAGGUCUCUUGCUGGGAGCGUUGGGGUCUUUUUUGCUGUCUCUUGGAUAAUGCCGUUCAGUGUGAGGGCUGCAUGAUAUAAUAGUCUAGAAUCAUUCAUAGUGGCACUUUCACUUUCAAGACGUCCUGUAGUUGUCAUCUCUCCCCUACUGUCUUCAGACGGUGACGACGAGGAGGAAGAAGAGGCGGCGGCUUCAUGGACGAUCUCCUCAGCUGACAGGUCCACGUACACAAGAUAGGUUUCAGAUGAUUUGUGGAACUUUAAGGCAGGAUAGGACUUGCGGAGUCGGACCUUUAAUAUGUGAGGCUUAUAGUCAUUGAUGUCGACUCCGUCCGUUUCUCUUACAAUCUCUUGAAAAAGGAAGUUCAGCCUCGACAGGCGGAGCACCUCCCUCCUCCUCAUGAGCCUCUCCUCGACGACGCUCUCGCAGAACUGCUUGUAACCUUUUUCAUACAAGCUGAGGUCUGUUUUUCCAGUUUUGAUAGACACAUAGCGGGAGGCACACACAUACCGGGUGUAAUCCCUGAAGCAGGUGUGGUGGUACCGCACCUCCCAGGCAGCCAAGUCGAGGUCUUGGAUCCGUCGAAGGAGAGGCUCGUCCUUUCUUCCUUGAGCGGCGGCGAGCAGAUGAUUCCCAGCGUUUAGCGUCUCGCACCGACUGAGACUCUCCUUCCGCCUCUUUCCGGUGUUUUUCUCUAGUGUGUAUUUGUGGCCUCUGCAAAUGAGGCAGUGGUCAGGCAGCAGACGUGGCGCUCGCCCGGAUCCGUCGUCAUGGCGCCCUACUUCUCGCCCGGAUCCGUCGUCAUGGCUGGUUUGUGAGUGUAGAGCUGGUGUUUGUGCUGGAGUCUCCUGACUAUCUUCUGUGUUUGGCCCGACCUCUCACCCUUAA
ensembl:lncRNA